GAUCAGUCAUCAGUGUAUCUCUCUACUCCCUCUCUCUCUCUCUCUCUCUCUUUCUCUCUCUGUCAUCUCCCUUCAAGUGCUAGCGCUUUAGUUUUGUCAGGAACCCGAAUUUGAUCGCGCGGCUCACCGAUCAUCUCCUUUUGUCCUCAAUCCCUCAUCUCUCCGCAUUCCUUGCAGUGCGCCUGAGAAGUGUUUGAUGUGAGCCAGCACUCGUAUCAGAAACUGGAAUAUUGUUUAGCAUCAUACACACUUUAUUCAGUGGAAUAGAUUUGCCCUGAUGCAAGGGCAAAGGAUUACGUUGGAUUCCUUCUCUGAAGUGGUUGAUAUUAGGCAGGGCUCUGUUUCUAACAGCACUGGUAUGAGUCAGCAGACUUCUUUGAAUAGCGCUCUAGCUCCUGUAGAAAGGGUAUUAUCAAAUUAUAGGGUAUCUUCUGGUGAGACAACGUGUCUGAAUGUUAGUACUCUUGAUGUUCCAAGCUUUAGUGGCUGGAAUACGGGUGAAACUAGCUCUAGAAUGAAUCCACAAAACCAAGUGAAUGAUAAUGGGAUAAAAAUUGAACAAGGGUGGUCUUCCUCACUCGAUAUUCAUUCUGGGGCUGAUCCAAGGUUGGAGGAAGGGCCAGUUGAAGUAAAUAAUAUCCCUUUUCCUGGGAGACUUAAUAUUGGCCUUGGUGGCAAUCGGAUUAGAAGAGUGCCUUUGUUCAUGGAAGGCUCCAGUUCUUACCAUGUCCCUCAAAAUGUGAAUCUAAAUGCAGAUUAUUUGGGUAACAGUGGGAAUAGUGGCCGGGUUAUAGGAUCUGGUUUAGGCCUUAACCUUAACAAGUCAAGUGGAGUAGAAAUAGAGCAGGCAUCUUCUGCCAGCGGUUUAUCUGAUAAUGUUGGGUCCUCAUCUGGAAGCUCCAGCUAUAUGGUGGAGGACAGUACUGGUGGCUCAGGCUCUUCUUUGGGGACCUGGGGUUUAUCCUGCAAGAGAAAGGCCGUUGAAGGGACUCCUGGGCAGUCUUAUCCUGGUGGAAGUUCUAACUCCUUUCCGCAGGCUGAAAAUGUUGAAUGGCAUAGUGGCUUAUUUACACCCUCACAGGAUUCUCCUAAUGUGAGUCCUUCAGAACAGCAGAACCUAAGCAUUGGGAUUGGUAUAAGAGCGGGGACUUCUGACGCCUAUCCUUCUUUACAUGUUACCGGUAAUGCAGAAAUCCCCUUCAGAAACUUCAGUAGGAGACCAAGUUCUGGAAAUCAGCAGGAAGCAGUACCACUUAAUUUAUCUUCAACAGGGAGUAUUAGGCAUUCAAAUAUUUUCUCCCCUCAUCAAUCAUCUAGAUCUGUUCCAUUUGGUGAAUCUGUGGACCUGAGACCUGCAGCAGUAGCCUCAGCUAGUUCUAGUGGUCUCCCAAGCCAGACUCAUGCUAUGCAUAUUCCUAGUUUUUCAGGAAACAUGCAUCCUUUUCAUUGGAAUGGGGCUUCCACUUUGGCUUCCACUUCAAGAGUGGGUGGCUUUUCAAAUACUCUAAACACGGGAGAGGGAGGCCCAGCGUUGAGAGAAGAAUCAAACUUAAGAAGCAUUGCAAGAAACAAUACGGAGCACCACAUGUUUGUUCCUGCAACUGAUGUGAGAAAUUCUGCAAAUGAUCCAACAAGUUGGAGUUUGGGUUCUAGAAACAUAGGCAAUUCUGGAAGUGUUCCUUCCACUGCUAGAGUUGGUCCCAGUUCAAGCAUCCAUUCACUGCCUAAUCCUACCUGGAUUCCUCCCCACAAUCCCCCAGCACGAAAUCUGUAUAGACUAGGAGAAUUUUCCUGGUCUUUGUUUCCCCCCAAUGACUCAGAAUCUGGAGGUCAUAGUAGUCAUUUUACAUCAUUACCUCCAGGCCCUUCUACUUCUUCACAAGAUACAGUGAUGUCAUCUGGACUUAAUAGCCAGGGGCAUCACCAACAAUAUCCGAGGGCAGCAUUCUUCACGGAGAGACAAGCCGAUGAUGUUCUUGGUGUGCCUCAUUCUAUGCGAGCUUUAGCUGUUGACAUUGAAGGUAGACGACGACUGAUAUCUGAGAUCCGACAAGUCUUGAGUGCCAUGCGUAGGGGUGAGAACUUACGAGUUGAGGACCAUAUGCUUUUUGACCCGUUCAUAUAUCAUGGUAUGGCCGAUAUGCAUGACAGGCACAGGGAUAUGCGGCUUGAUGUAGAUAACAUGUCUUAUGAGGAACUGCUGGCAUUGGAAGAACGCAUAGGAGAUGUGAGCACUGGACUGGGCGAGGAUGCCAUUUUGAAGCUCAUGAAACAGCGAAAACAUGCAACCGCUGCGAUGGAAUUCCUUCCAGACUUAGAACCAUGCUGUAUCUGUCAGGAGGAAUAUGCCGAUGGUGAUGAUCUUGGGACACUCGAUUGUGGGCAUGAUUUCCACACCAACUGCGUCAAACAGUGGCUAAUGCAGAAGAAUCUAUGCCCCAUUUGUAAAACAACGGCCUUGUUCACAUGAGAGGCCCGGAGGUUAUCUUGUUCUCGAACUGCAUGCAUGGUUUCACGAAAACAAACAGCUUUUCAAGGUUCGGGGAGGGAGUUACACAAGUUGAUGGCAGUUUCAGAAUUUGGAGAGCAUGCCGGAAUCUUAGCCUUUUCUACUUGAUUCAUAUAAACGGCCACCUCUUGGUUUUGUGCUGUUUCAUAUUUACGAUGACGUGCACGUAAAUUUUCGUUAGCUUUUCUCCAUCAAGAGAAGCUGCUGAAACUAGCCGCUUUCUGUGUUGCUCGUAACGCCCCCGGACGUCCUCUCCAGCUUGCUAAUCACAGUUUUAAAUUUCGUUCCCAGUAUUUUCCGGUCUAGCUUCUGGUAUACCAUACCUCUUCGUUCUGUUUUACUCUAAAUUUUGGCCUGUUCUACUCUGUUUCAGCCAUUCUAGCUGAAAUUAGCAUUUCGGGUCCUAUUCGAAACUGUUUUUA